rnacentral:lncRNA from 1 species
GGCCGGGGGGGCGGGGCGGGUGCGGGGGCAGCGCUGGGGGGUCCUGCUGCUGGCGCGGCUGCUGCGGGGGGAGGGCGGCGCCUGAGAUGUCGCGACACAGCGGGGUGGGCGUGUCGGGACAUGGCGCCCCCCCAGCCCCCGUUUUGUGACCACCCCCCCCCUCAAAAAACACUUGGAAAGCGCAAAAUCCGUGUCCGGCUCUGUGAGGGGGGGUCUGAGGGUAUCUCUGUGGGGCUGGGGGCUCCCAUAGGGCCGGGGGUGUCCCUUGGGGUCUGGGGAGGGGUCCCAGUACACGAGGAGGGGGCUUAAACCCCCCCCGACCCCAAACCUCCCACUUCCGCCAUAUUUCCUCCCCCAUGGGCGCCGCCAUCUUUGUUUCCUCCAACAUGGCGCUUCCGGCGCGCUUUGACGUCACUUCCGCACUCCCAAUUUUCUCCCCCCCCAUCUAAAAUGGCGGCUCCCGUUCGGGUCCGGGUCCCUCCCGGGGCUCCCCCGGAGCCGCUCCCGGUUCAGCUCCUGCCCUGCCGGAUCCAGCACGACGGGCCCGCCCCUGUGGCCGCGUUCCUGCGGGCCCGGCCCGGCCCGGACGGCGAUCUCUGGGCCUCGUUCCGGGGGCGCCGUUUGGGGGGUCGGGAGCUGCCGCUGCCCCCCGGCUACACGGGGGCGGUGCUCAGGGGGGGGGAGCCCGGAGAGCCCCCCCGGGGCGACCCCCAGGUGAGGCAGAGGGACCCCAAAUCCCCUCCGUGGGGCAGAGACCCCCAAACCCCCCUGUGGGGCUCAGACCCCCCCCUUAUCCCCUCCCGGGGGUCUCAGCCCCUCCCGGGGGUCUCAGCCCCCAUGUUCCCCCCGGGGGGGGGUCUCAGCCCCGUGUCCCCCCUGCCCUUUGCCCCCAGGCCGCCUCGGUGA